rnacentral:tRNA from 1 species
GGUCCCGUAGUGUAGCGGUUAUCACGUCGCCCUGUCACGGCGAAGAUCACGGGUUCGAUUCCCGUCGGGACCG